CUAUGGCCCUGGGCCUGGUGGGGACCAUGCUGCCCUCUCCUCUGCACCCGUCAGCUGGGCCAUUUCCGAGGCCUCUGCUCUGUUCUCCUCCACUGUCAUUUCGAUUCCAGGGGCCCUUCCUGCCAUUCGUCCAGGGUCUUACCCCCCACGGCAAAAGCGUCAGUGUUGGUCUUUCAAAGCUGACCCUGCGUCAAGCUCUCUGAUGGCUCCCCACUGCCUUUUGCUCACGUUCAGGUCCCCUACCAAAGCCACCACAGCCUCCCCUGAGCGCUCAGCCCCGGUGCACAUUCCUCUCUCCUACUUUUCUCCAGCCUGGCUCUAUUUUUUUUUUUCUUGCCUCUGGGCCUCCACAUGUCAUAUUCUUUCAACCCGAACACUCAUUUCGCUGCCUCUUCACCAGGCUGACUCUCGUCGUCCUUCAGGACUCAGCGUGGCUACCCCUUUGUCCAGGCAGUCUUCCCUGACUGCCAGGUGGGUUCGGCAAGCCGCCUAGGCCUCUGUCACCGCAUCUCCACUGUGUGGUACUCGUCUGCCUACUUGUCUCUACAGUCAGGUCUGGGAGGGCAAGUCUUGCAAAUCAGCAUGUCCCUAGGAAUUUAGCUGAGUGCUGGACACAGCGCGUGGCACGCCCUUAGAAAUGUUUGUCAUAUGUUGACUGAAAGGAGCUUCCUUCCUGCCCCGACGGUUCCCUGGAAACCCUUUCUUAAGGCAGCUGGUCUGGGCAACCUGGAAAUGGAAACGGAGGAAGGGGGCGAGGGGAAGCUCGCUGCAAACCUGGGGCCUGGAGGCCCUCCCUUUAAUCCUUCACUUCUCUUUCAUGUUCUGUCUACACCCCCUGCCCAGGCCUGAAUGGCCAGGCCACAGAGAAGAGGAGAGAGAAAGCCUUCCCGUGUGUAUCCGGGGCAGUGAGAAGGGCUCCCACAAACGCCAGACCUUCAUUGGCCCUCCAGUAGGUCACAGUGGGGGGCUCCCACUGGCUGUGAGUCUUGGUCUGCAAGGAGCUGGAGUUCGCCUGGGUGAGUCUGCCUAUGAAUUCCGCCCCGCCACGAGGGGCACGAAGGCUGGCACCCACACACCUUCCCCACCUCAUAUCCUCCUGUCCCCAGCAAAGGCUUGGAGAAGGGAAGAGAGACAGGGAAAGUGAGGGUGAAGUGAUCCUCAGACCCCUAGCCCCACCAGCCCUGGGGCCUUCAGGGGGACAUGUCCCCAUUCUGAUUUCAGAUCAGCCCACAUGGAAACACACUGCAUCCCCACUCACAGCUUAAUACCCUGCCCCUUCCUGUGUCCACUCUCUCCAUCCUUCUUAUGCACCCGUUUCUUUGAGAAGAGCCUUUCUAGAAUAGUCCCUGGUGUUUUCUCCCCAUCUGUCCUUUCUAUUUGCUCUAGCUUGGUGACUUGAAAAAAAAUCCGCUCUUCCCCAUCCAAGAGUACUGUGACUGCAGACACGAUGUCUCUCCCUUUUCACAGAGUCCUUCUUGACCUACCCUUGGAAUAGCCCACCAAAGCCCAAGCCUUUGACAACAGGGCCUCAUAUAACCACACAAUGCAUCUAUUUAUGGGCAACUUCCUUCUACCCAGGUUUUUCUUCUGGGCCCACUGCUCCCCCUAAUGCUCCUGCCUCCAGGAGCUGAGAGACUUACUAGGGUCCACGUAGGCCCAGCUGGGGUGGAGAGGCACAGCUGAAGGGGCUGGGGGGAAGGGCCCUGCCUUCAGCCCCUCCCCAGAGGUGGCCUCCUCGUAGGAGGGCGGGGCCGAGGGCACUGCUGGAGUCUCCUUCUUCUCAGCAUUGGCCUGCUGCUGCCCCUCCGUCCCGGGGGCCUUAUUAGCCACGGAGAUCUGUGGAGUAGGGGCAGACAGAGACAGUCACCAGGGAAAGGGUGCCUUCCAAAUCCUCCUCACCAGCUUCUGCUUUCUGGAACUUCCAUGGGUAUUCUCACCGGCUCCUAAUUUCUGGGACUUCCCUGGGUACUUUCUCACCUAGAAGGGUGGGGGUACAGACAAGAGUCUCCCUGUUUUGUGCAGGGUAUGCAAUAUUAUUCAGCCUUAAGAAAGAAGGAAAUCCUCCCAUUUGCAACAACAUAGGUGAACCUGGAGGAUGUUAUGCUAAGUGAAAUGAGCGAGACACAGAAAGGUAAAAACUGCAUGAUAUCAGUUAUAUUGGGGAUGGAAAGUAGCCAAACUCAUAGAAGAACAGAGCAGAAUGGUGGUUGCCAGGGGUGGGGGGUGGGGGGAAUGGGAAGAUGGUGGUCAAAGGGCACAAAGUUUCCAUUGUGCAAGAUGAAUAAGUUCUGGAGAUCUAAUGUACAGCAUGGUGAUUAUAGUUAACAAUACUGUAUUGUAUACUUGAAAUUUGCUGAGAGGGUGGAUCUUAAGCUUUCUCAUCACACACACAUAAAGGUAACUAACUGUGAAGUGAUAGCGUUGUUCACUGGCUCGACUGUGAUCAUUUCACCAUGUAUACAUAUAUCUAAACAUCAAGCUGUAUACCAUAAAUAUAUAUGUAUAAAUAUAUAAAUAAAUUAUAUAUAUAUAUAUAUAUAUAUA